CAGCAGCCGCGGUAAUACGUAGGGUGCAAGCGUUAAUCGGAAUUACUGGGCGUAAAGCGUGCGCAGGCGGUUUUGUAAGUCUGUCGUGAAAUCCCCGGGCUCAACCUGGGAAUUGCGAUGGAGACUGCAAGGCUAGAAUCUGGCAGAGGGGGGUAGAAUUCCACGUGUAGCAGUGAAAUGCGUAGAGAUGUGGAGGAACACCGAUGGCGAAGGCAGCCCCCUGGGUCAAGAUUGACGCUCAUGCACGAAAGCGUGGGGAGCAAACAGGAUUAGAUACCCUGGUAGUCCACGCCCUAAACGAUGUCUACUAGUUGUCGGGUUUUAAUUAACUUGGUAACGCAGCUAACGCGUGAAGUAGACCGCCUGGGGAGUACGGUCGCAAGAUUAAAACUCAAAGGAAUUGACGG
rnacentral:rRNA from 1 species